rnacentral:snRNA from 1 species
AUACUUUGGCAGCACAUAUGCAAAACUGGAGCAACACGGGGACGAUUAGCAUGACCCCAGCACAAGGGUGACAUGCAAGUUCGUGAAGCCGUCGUGUUUUUC